ensembl:lncRNA
GACCCUGUGAACUUCGGGGUCAUGGGCUGCUUGGCCAUGAGUCAUGUACAGCCUGUGGGAGAGAAGGAUGAUAUGAUAUGUACUGUGAACAAGGAUAUAAAGUCAUGAAGAACCAAGUGACAAUGUCAACAGGGAUUUCAAUAAAAUAAUCUACACAUAAUAAAUACAUUUCAUAAAAUGAUAUCAAAUUGUGGUCAAGCACCUCUCUGCCGCCUGCUGUCCAGGAGCAGAGCCACUCGGCUUCCUCGGCGCUCUCCAUAGUCCUCCUGACGCAUGCGAUUUCUUCUUUGCCUUCUGGGUGUACCUGAACGGUUUCCGAUCCAUCGCAUGUAAAGCCGUGUACAGGCGAACUAUGUCCGCCUCCUCCUUGGCUGACAAGGCCGUGAUGGUGCGGUUUAAUUUGAGUAGAGGCAGGCAUGCUGAUGGCAGGCAUGCUGAUGGCAGGCAUGCUGAUGGCAGGCAUGCUGAUGGCAUCAUCCUCCUCCGUCUCCUCCUCCUCC